rnacentral:rRNA from 1 species
GAAACCGUGAUAGGGGAACUCUGAGUGCCCGUUAAAUCGGGCUGUCCAUCAGUUUAAACAACUGGUGAAGAAAGGGCCGGGCAAGACCGGUGCCAGCCGCCGCGGUAAUACCGGCGGCUCGAGUGGUGGCCACUAUUACUGGGCUUAAAGCGUUCGUAGCUGGUUUGUUAAGUCUCUGGGGAAAUCUUCCGGCUUAACCGGAAGGCGUCUCAGGGAUACUGGCAGACUAGGGACCGGAAGAGGUGAGGGGUACUCCAGGGGUAGGAGUGAAAUCCUGUAAUCCUUGGGGGACCACCUGUGGCGAAGGCGCCUCACCAGAACGGCUCCGACAGUGAGGGACGAAAGCUGGGGGAGCAAACCGGAUUAGAUACCCGGGUAGUCCCAGCCGUAAACGAUGUGCGUUAGGUGUAUCGGUGACCACGAGUCACCGAGGUGCCGAAGAGAAAUCGUGAAACGUACCGCCUGGGAAGUACGGUCGCAAGGCUGAAACUUAAAGGAAUUGGGG